GAGUGCAAUUACUGUGAAGACAGGACCAGACUGGAGGAAUUAUAGUGCCUAUGGUGAAGUGCCUAAGGAGAAGUGAGCUCACUAGUGGACACCCAGGAAAACAGAGACUGACAGCGUGACAUUACCCCCUCCCCUACGGAGCAGCUGCCAGAUGCUCCACCUGAAACCCAGGAAAACCCAACAGAUAAAGAAGUUAGGAGGGAGGUGGAGCGGCGGCGGACUAGGGGGAGGGACGGAGGGUCAGAAAACAUAACAGGAGAACCAGGUAGAAUGGGGAGACAAAGACAGGACAACCAGGUAAAAUGGAAAGACAGAGACAGGAGAACCAGGUAGAAUGGAAAGACAGAGACAAGAGAAGUGUAACACAAAACAAGGAGUCCAGGAGGGUGGUGGACCGGCGGAGGAUCAGGGGGAGGGACGGAGGGCCAGGUCCAAAGAAGGAAACAGACAGAAAAACAAAAGAAAACAAAAACACAAAAACAUAGGUCCAUGAAGGACAUCACGUGAUGCCCACCCGGGCAGAACAGAGGACCACCACACCCAUGUGGUCAAGGAAGAAGCUCCCCCAGGGCGGAGCAGAAGACCACCACAUCCUGGUGGUCGA